rnacentral:misc_RNA from 1 species
GAUGAAGAACGUAGCGAAAUGCGAUAAGUAAUGUGAAUUGCAGAAUUCAGUGAAUCAUCGAAUCUUUGAACGCACAUUGCGCCCCCCAGUAUUCUGGCGGGCAUGCCUGUUCGAGCGUCAUUUCAACCAUCAAGCCCUGCUUGUGUUGGGGUCCUGCGGCUGCCCGCAGGCCCUGAAAACCAGUGGCGGGCUCGCUAGUCACACCGAGCGCAGUAGCACAUCUCGCUCAGGGCGUGCGGCGGGCUCCAGCCGUUAAAGCACCCACCUUUCGCAAGGUUGACCUCGGAUCAGGUAGGAAUACCCGCUGAACUUAAGCAUAUCAAUAAGCGGAAGA